AACAGGAUUAGAUACCCUGGUAGUCCACGCUGUAAACGAUGUCGACUUGGAGGUUGUGCCCUUGAGGCGUGGCUUCCGGAGCUAACGCGUUAAGUCGACCGCCUGGGGAGUACGGCCGCAAGGUUAAAACUCAAAUGAAUUGACGGGGGCCCGCACAAGCGGUGGAGCAUGUGGUUUAAUUCGAUGCAACGCGAAGAACCUUACCUACUCUUGACAUCCAGAGAAUUUGCUAGAGAUAGCUUAGUGCCUUCGGGAACUCUGAGACAGGUGCUGCAUGGCUGUCGUCAGCUCGUGUUGUGAAAUGUUGGGUUAAGUCCCGCAACGAGCGCAACCCUUAUCCUUUGUUGCCAGCGCGUAAUGGUGGGAACUCAAAGGAGACUGCCGGUGAUAAACCGGAGGAAGGUGGGGAUGACGUCAAGUCAUCAUGGCCCUUACGAGUAGGGCUACACACGUGCUACAAUGGCAUAUACAAAGAGAAGCGAACUCGCGAGAGCAAGCGGACCUCAUAAAGUAUGUCGUAGUCCGGAUUGGAGUCAGCAACUCGACUCCAUGAAGUCGGAAUCGCUAGUAAUCGUAGAUCAGAAUGCUACGGUGAAUACGUUCCCGGGCCUUGUACACACCGCCCGUCACACCAUGGGAGUGGGUUGCAAAAGAAGUAGGUAGCUUAACCUUCGGGAGGGCGCUUACCACUUUGUGAUUCAUGACUGGGGUGAAGUCGUAACAAGGUAACC
rnacentral:rRNA from 1 species